GUGGGGUAAGCCUAUGGUUAGUCCCUUACACGGGGCAAGGCCACGACGGCCGGUUGGUAGGCCAAGGGGGCAAUGGGCCGAGAUCGGCAACUGGAAGCUCUGGGCUAUGGUGAUGCCUAGGGUGGGCAGUGGCGCUUAACUAGGACCCCCAGCUGGAAACCCCAGAACUAGUUAAAGCGGCCCGAGAGGACGGACGCGGUGGUCGGUUGGUUAUAGGGGUAAAUGUAACUAGCUUAAGGUGCAUCCUGCGUGGAGUAGCCACGUAGUCUCUAAGCCUUGGUGGAAUGAUGAGAUUUCAAAUAAAAGAAGACAUUUAGCUAGAGUUAAAAA
rnacentral:sRNA from 1 species